rnacentral:rRNA from 1 species
UACGGGGGGAGCAAGCGUUGUCCGGAUUUACUGGGCGUAAAGCGCCCGCAGGCGGCUUGGCAAGUUUGGGGUGAAAUCUCCCGGCUCAACUGGGAGGGUGCCUCGAAAACUGCCAGGCUUGAGGCAUGGAGAGGGAUGCGGAAUUCCCGGUGUAGUGGUGAAAUGCGUAGAUAUCGGGAGGAACACCAGUGGCGAAGGCGGCAUCCUGGCCAUGUCCGUGACGCUCAGGGGCGAAAGCGUGGG